GACUUUUCCCUUUCUUCUUUUGAGAGUAAAAUUCAUGUUUUUUAUUUCACAGUAUGUAUUUUAUAUGUUUGUGUCUCAAAUUAACAAGGGCAAAAGAUCUCAUCUCUUUGAAAAUUGAGGAGUCCAAGACUAGUAUAAUGAAACAGACAGAGCUUAUCAGUACUUAGCAACAACUUGGACUAGUCUAACAAAUAUCUGCCUAUAUAUAUAUAUAUAUAUAUAUAUUUGUGUAGCCUUUUUCUUAAUUCCCACAACCAACUAUCAUACCUUAAUUGCAUACCUUUUUCUUAAUUCCCACAACCAAUUGUCAUACUUUAAUUGCAUACCUUUUUCUUAAUUCCCACAACCAACUUUUGAACUAUUUGAUCCUACAACCAAUUCUCAUUUCUUUUCUUUCUCUGUUUCUGUCUUCUUUUUUUUUCUUCCUAUGAACCUCAUAGGCUCAUACAUGUCGCAAAGAUCAACACAUUUCCCUUGUAAAAUUCAAGGAAACGCUUACUGUAGAUCUGUCAACCUCUUAUAAUUGCCAGAAGCGUUAUCCAUAAAUAUGUUCAUGGGAUAUGAGCAGCGAUUGUUGCUCAUGGAUAGAGUCAUAUGGGAUGAGACGACUGAUCAUGUCAUUGAACUUGACCUCAGUAGCAGUUGCCUUGUUGGGACCAUUGAUUCCAAUAGCAGCCUAUUUCAACUCUCUCAUCUCCAAAGGAAACCAACUUUCUGGAUAAAUACCACAACAACUUGUUUCUCUUACAUCUCUUUCAUUCUUAAUUCUCUCCCACAAUCAUCUCCGAGGAUGCAUCCCUCAAGGACCUCAAUCUCACACUUUUGACAACAACUCAAAUGAAGGCAAUGAUGGAUUAUGUGGAUUCCCAGUUUCAAAAAGUUGUGGCGAUGAUCAGGCUUAGAUACAAAUUAUAUUGUAUCUGGACUAGACAAUCAAGAAAGCAAUUCUGAAUUUCUGAGUGAUUUUUGGAAAGUUGCUCUUAUGGGCUAUGGAGGUGAUUAUUGGAUUAUCCAUUGUAUAUUUCAUUAUUUCAACUGGAUACCCAAAAUGGCUUGCAAGGAUAAUUGUGGAAUUGGAGCACAAAAUUAUGAUGAGAAAGAAGUAGCAAAGGCCAAGGAAUUACAGAAGAAGAAAUAAUCACUUGUAGUGUAACAUAGUGACGGUUAAUCAGUUUUGGGACCUUUUUGUAUGCUUUUAAGCAAUAAUAUUAUCAAUUGUGUCU